rnacentral:rRNA from 1 species
UGGGGAAUAUUGCACAAUGGAGGAAACUCUGAUGCAGCGACGCCGCGUGAGUGAAGAAGGUCUUCGGAUCGUAAAACUCUGUCCUUGGUGACGAAAAAAUGACGGUAGCCAAGGAGGAAGCCCCGGCUAACUACGUGCCAGCAGCCGCGGUAAUACGUAGGGGGCGAGCGUUGUCCGGAUUUACUGGGCGUAAAGGGUGAGUAGGCGGUAAUAUGUGUCAGAUGUAAAAGGCUAUGGCUUAACCAUAGUUGGCAUUUGAAACUGUAUUACUUGAGUGCAGGAGAGGUAAGUGGAAUUCCUAGUGUAGCGGUGAAAUGCGUAGAUAUUAGGAGGAACACCAGUGGCGAAGGCGACUUACUGGACUGUAACUGACGCUGAGUCACGAAAGCGUGGGUAGCAAACA